GUUAACAGCCCAACCACCCUGAGCACACCUGAUCUCAUCUGAUCACCUCUGAUCUUGGACGCUAAGCAGGAUCGGGCCUGGUCAGGGCUUGGAUGGGUGCUGCUUGGG
rnacentral:rRNA from 1 species